GGGCCCGUCCUUAACAUGCCAAGUCGAAGGGACUCUUCGGAAUUCAGUGGCGGACGGGUGAGUACGCGUGACCUUAAGACUAAAAGGUUCGGGACAACCCCUGGAAACGGUGGCUACUCUUGGAUGUGCUAUACAGUAAAAGAUUUAUCGCCUGAAGAUGAGCUCGCGUCUGAUUAGCUAGUUGGUGAGGUAAAAGCUCACCAAGGCGACGAUCAGUAGCUGGUCUGAGAGGAUGACCAGCCACACUGGGACUGAGACACGGCCCAGACUCCUACGGGAGGCAGCAGUGGGGAAUUUUCCGCAAUGGGCGAAAGCCUGACGGAGCAAGACCGCGUGAGGGAGGAAGGCCCUUGGGUUGUAAACCUCUUUUCUCAGGGAAGAAGAAAGUGACGGUACCUGAGGAAUCAGCCUCGGCUAACUCCGUGCCAGCAGCCGCGGUA
rnacentral:rRNA from 1 species